CCUACGAGUGGCAGCAGUGGGGAAUAUUGCACAAUGGGGGCAACCCUGAUGCAGCCAUGCCGCGUGAGUGAAGAAGUAUUUCGGUAUGUAAAGCUCCAUCAGCAGGGAAGUGAAUGACGGUACCUGACUAAGAAUCCCCGGCUAACUACGUUCCAGCAGCCGCGGUUAUACGUAGGGGGCGAGCGUUAUCCGGAUUUACUGGGUGUAAAGGGAGCGUAGGCGGUUCAGUAAGUCUGAAGUGAAAGCCCGUGGCUUAACCGCGGAACGGCUUUGGAAACUGUGGAACUGGAGUGCUGGAGAGGCAAGCGGAAUGUCUAGUGUAGCGGUGAAAUGCGGAGAUAUUAGGAGGAACACCAGUGGCGAAGGCAGCUUGCUGGACAGUAACUGACGUUGAGGCUCGAAAGCGUGGGGAGCAAACAGGAUUAGAUACCCCAGUAGUC
rnacentral:rRNA from 1 species